UCCCCAUGCUCCAGGUCCCCAUGCUCCAGGUCCCCAUGCUCCAGGUCCUCAUGCUGCAGGUCCCCAUGCUCCAGGUCCCCAUGCUCCAGGUCCCCAUGCUGCAGGUCCUCAUGCUCCAGGUCCCCAUGCUCCAGGUCCCCAUGCUACAGGU